rnacentral:rRNA from 1 species
UUAGUGUUUUAUUUGUUUUGUGUUUUAGUGAGUUGAUUCAUCUUUUGUUGGGGUAUUGGUGAGAGAUAUUUUUUUGAUUUAUCGUGAGAGAGACUAAUUAAAACGGUUUAGAUGGUUUGUUUGUUUUUGCCUUUUGUAUAAUGAGUGGAUGAGUCGUAGUGCAAUGUGUUUUGGUAUGCUCGAAUAAAAUUGAUUUAUCUAGGCUUGGGGUUUGUGGCGUUGAAAUGUGGCUUAUUUUUAGGUCUAGAUAGUGGUGACAUGUUAAUCGUAUUUUUUGAUAGCUAGGGGUUGCAGUUGUUUUAUGUAAAAGAAGCAGUCUGUGUGUUGCUUUUAAAAAUCAGGGACAGCUUGGUUUUUUAUGGAAUAAGGCAUGUGUUUGGUGUUAUUAUUGUUAUUGAAUUUUGAAUGGAGUUUGGUGCUUUGCUUUGUAACUUUUAUUAUGUUUAUAUGAGUAUUUUGGUAUAUUGUGGGUUUAAAUUUUUGAAAUUUAUUUGAUGUUUUUUGUUUUAUUUGAAAUUGAGGAAUUUUGUUGCAUCGUGUAUGUUUAAUAAAAGCUUUGUCUGACGAUUUUUAUGUUAGAUUCCACCAGCUCAGUGAGCUUGUCUUUUACAGGAUUUUUUGUUUUAAAGUAGCAAAGUAAUUUGGCUGUUAAUUGUAGUCUAGUGAGGGUGUGUCGUGGUGUGAUUUUCUUAGUUUUGUUUAAAGAAAUUUCUUUUUGGUGAAAAUGCCAAGUGUAUUAUUUUAGAAAAAAAGACCCUGGGUGGUUGAGGCUAAUCGACAAGCUUUUAGUCGAAAACCUUGGGCUGGGGCAGCUGUGGAUGAUUUAAAUUUCUAAUAUUUUAGGCUAUUUUGUAGUGUUGGUUGAUGAUCCCUGUGAGGGAAUGGAAGAACCAUCCCCAGGGAUAACAGCGCAAUUAAUUAGGAGAGUGCAUAUUAAUUAAUUAGUUUACGACCUCGAUGUCGACUUAGAUUUUCCUGAACGUGCAGAAGUGUUGAGGGUUUGUUUGUUCACCAAUUAAAAAUUUACGUGAGUUGGGUUUAGAACGGGGUGACUUAGUUCGGAUUUUUUCUAGAAUUGUAUAAUCCGUUAGUACGAAAGGAACGUGUGUUAGUAGUGAUAUGUUUGUGAUAGUUUG